rnacentral:rRNA from 1 species
GAUGAACGCUGGCGGCGUGCCUAAUACAUGCAAGUCGAGCGAACGGACGAGAAGCUUGCUUCUCUGAUGUUAGCGGCGGACGGGUGAGUAACACGUGGAUAACCUACCUAUAAGACUGGGAUAACUUCGGGAAACCGGAGCUAAUACCGGAUAAUAUGUUGAACCGCAUGGUUCAAAAGUGAAAGACGGUCUUGCUGUCACUUAUAGAUGGAUCCGCGCUGCAUUAGCUAGUUGGUAAGGUAACGGCUUACCAAGGCAACGAUGCAUAGCCGACCUGAGAGGGUGAUCGGCCACACUGGAACUGAGACACGGUCCAGACUCCUACGGGAGGCAGCAGUAGGGAAUCUUCCGCAAUGGGCGAAAGCCUGACGGAGCAACGCCGCGUGAGUGAUGAAGGUCUUCGGAUCGUAAAACUCUGUUAUUAGGGAAGAACAUAUGUGUAAGUAACUGUGCACAUCUUGACGGUACCUAAUCAGAAAGCCACGGCUAACUACGUGCCAGCAGCCGCGGUAAUACGUAGGUGGCAAGCGUUAUCCGGAAUUAUUGGGCGUAAAGCGCGCGUAGGCGGUUUUUUAAGUCUGAUGUGAAAGCCCACGGCUCAACCGUGGAGGGUCAUUGGAAACUGGAAAACUUGAGUGCAGAAGAGGAAAGUGGAAUUCCAUGUGUAGCGGUGAAAUGCGCAGAGAUAUGGAGGAACACCAGUGGCGAAGGCGACUUUCUGGUCUGUAACUGACGCUGAUGUGCGAAAGCGUGGGGAUCAAACAGGAUUAGAUACCCUGGUAGUCCACGCCGUAAACGAUGAGUGCUAAGUGUUAGGGGGUUUCCGCCCCUUAGUGCUGCAGCUAACGCAUUAAGCACUCCACCUGGGGAGUACGACCGCAAGGUUGAAACUCAAAGGAAUUGACGGGGACCCGCACAAGCGGUGGAGCAUGUGGUUUAAUUCGAAGCAACGCGAAGAACCUUACCAAAUCUUGACAUCCUCUGACACCUCUAGAGAUAGAGCCUUCCCCUUCGGGGGACAAAGUGACAGGUGGUGCAUGGUUGUCGUCAGCUCGUGUCGUGAGAUGUUGGGUUAAGUCCCGCAGCGAGCGCAACCCUUAAGCUUAGUUGCCAUCAUUAAGUUGGGCACUCUAAGUUGACUGCCGGUGACAAACCGGAGGAAGGUGGGGAUGACGUCAAAUCAUCAUGCCCCUUAUGAUUUGGGCUACACACGUGCUACAAUGGACAAUACAAAGGGCAGCGAAACCGCGAGGUCAAGCAAAUCCCAUAAAGUUGUUCUCAGUUCGGAUUGUAGUCUGCAACUCGACUACAUGAAGCUGGAAUCGCUAGUAAUCGUAGAUCAGCAUGCUACGGUGAAUACGUUCCCGGGUCU